GUGGUAGAGCUGCUGCAGUGGAACAUUGGCGCCAUUUUCAAACUUCAGAGCCUCAGUGACUGGAACUCUUCUAAGAGCUACAUUAUUCAUCAUUAUGCUUUUUUUUUUUUUUUAAAUUCUUACAUCGGGACUCUUUAUUAUUUUAACUAUCAUUUUACUAAUACUGGCAAUUGGAGGAGCAUAUUCACAAAAGGUGCAGGAGACAGACUACACUAGAAGAGGGGUGUUCGGUAGGUUACUUUGGGAAUACCAGGCACCUUUUCUUCUCCCCUGCUGCCUAACAUGCUGGAGAACGGGGAUCGAGGAAGUAGACAGAAGCAAAUGCCUUCUGCAACUGUGCUGAUGUGAUUAUUUGACUUCAUGAGAUGUAACUGUGUUGGGGUGAAUUUUGAAUAUAAUCAUUAAAUAGUGAUCGAAGGUUUAUAUAUUCUUUAGAACACUUGGAUGUUUUAUAACACAAAUUUAGUCUCACCUUGGUGUGCAUUUUGCUAUAGAUAAACUUCAUAUUUGUUACUGUGAACUUCAACUUCAUGAAUAUCUUUAAGCAAAAAUGAAAGAUUAUGCUUAUGUUAACAUAACAACAGUCAUAAUUAUUUUGUAAGUAAGCCUUCAUUCUUGCUGACAUUAGAACGUGAUUACACCACACCAGGAGUGGUGUACUUAAAAGAAAAAAAUUGCUGCCCUUCACAAUGACAGGGUGUUUCCUUUUCUCAACCACAGUUGUGAUGAUAAAUUUCUAAUAGUUUUUAAUAACUUUUCUCAGUCAUCCGUUUUGAGCAAAAUAAAAAUAAAUGUGUUUUUCAGUAAGUAAUGAAUAUUGUUGUGGUUUUCCUCUGUAAUUAAUGACACAUUUAUAUGUUGUAGCAGUUUUGUGGGUGUAAACUUCGUUUUCAAUAAAAAAAUAAUAAAUAAAUGAGCAAAAUAGAAACCAGCAAAAAAUUCUACCAUUUAUAAAUUAAUUCAUAUAUACACUACAUCCUAGUUGUCAUAUCCAGUCAUCAG